rnacentral:rRNA from 1 species
UACGUAGGAGGCAAGCGUUGUCCGGAGUUACUGGGCGUAAAGCGCACGCAGGCGGUCUUGUCAGUCUGUAGGGACAGGGCACAGCUCAACUGUGUCAGGCUUAUGGAAACUGCAAGACUUGAGGGCUUCAGAGGGAUGGGGAAUUCCGGGUGGAGUGGUGAAAUGCGUAGAGAUCCGGAAGAACACCAAAGGCGAAGGCACCAUCCUGGGGAGUCACUGACGCUCGGGUGCGAAAGCUAGGGGAGCGGAACGGG